AAACUGUAUACAGCUCACCUUCGACUUCAUUAAUUUUGCAGAAAAAUGGCAUGUCGAUUUGGGUGUUUAUGAAGAAUUCAUAGUAGUAAACGAGUCGUCAAUUUGUUGGAAAAGUCAAGAGUAAAGAUAAUAAUCUGAAGAAUUUGUCUGGGUACUCUUUAACAUUUACAACAUGACACUUCUUCUUUCGAUGCAAGCUUUUAUAAAAAGGUUCAUUAAGCAAAUGUAGCGGAAAUAACAACUAAUGAUCAUUGAGUAUAGCCGGUGCUGGACAUCUCUAAUAAAGCGAUGUCAACUUCUAUUUGAAAUUAACGGCAAAGCUCUUUUCAAACCAGCCAUGAAUUUUGCAGUUAUCAUCAACCCUAACAGCAUUAUAAUUUACACAAAUGUAAUAUAAUGCUUGUUUAUUUUAUUUCGAGGUUCAUAAAGUCAGAUAACGUAUGCUUUUUCAAUUCAUGACAAUCCUGCACAGCAAAAUAAUGUGACAAAUCUACAUUGAAUAGCUUUAAUAAAAGGAAAAAGAAAUUAAUGAAUUCAGUCUAUAAAAGUAAACCAGAUCGACAUUUAUACGCAGAUUAGAUUGAAGACAAAGGCAAGGAAGAAAUGUAUAGAAAAAGACAAGAUUGCAAGCAUUGCCAACUUCCUAAACAAAAAAAAAUACAAAUAUCAAACUUAGGAUCAAGCGAUAUAACUUUACCUACCCAAAUAUCCACAGC